AUUUUGGAUAGGCUCCAAAAUAAAAAAUAAAUAAAUAAAAAAGACUAGAUAGACUACAAAGCAACCAGCGACUUCCUUCUCUAGUUUCAACCUGGAAGAGGAAAACAUUAAAGUGUUUUCUCCCCUUUCUUGAUCUUUCUCUUUAUAUGUUUUCUUGGAGAUAUCUGUUAGGCACUCUACCUUGGCUGCCACUACCAUCGUGCCUUCCACCUCCUUAAUGCCUCUUAGAUUGUCCUUCAUGACCUUCGAUUCUGCUACCUCAUCGCCGAAUGUCUAGUAAGUUGUCAAUUUCCUCACUUCUCUACAAAUGCACGAUUUGAUAGUGUAAUGUUAAUUGUUAUGCGCCCAUGCACAAUCGACUUGGUAUUUUUAGCUAAGAUUUGGAAUAUUGAGUUUCUUCAUUUUUUACCUCUUGAGUUUCAUUCGUGCUGAUGCUCGUCAAUUGUUUGCUGAAAUGUCUCUAAUUUUUUGAUCUGGAAUUUCAUUUUCAAGACACACCUGAUUCAUGAAAGAUUUAUUAGAGGAUUUCUAAACUACUCAAGUCUUACAAUUUUAUUUGUGAAAUUUUCAAAAUUUAUUUGCUUUGUUUUGUGUUUGCAUUUUUAUUUAGUUCUCGUGGUGAGGAAUUUUCCAAUACAAGAAUUUUAUAGAUUUUUUUUUUUUUGAAUUACCGCCAGUGGGUGUAUACUAAUACUAUUUUGAAAAGACUUGCAUGACAUGUUUUGCCUAAACCUAAAGUAACUCAUUAGCUCCAUCACUUACCUCUUUCUCCCAUUUUUGGUUAUUCCUUGGAGGUUGAUUGUCGAAUUCCUUCUCUUGGCGAUAUUUGGGAAUUUUGAAUUGUUCUUUGCUUAUAAUUAUAUCCACUAGAAAAUUUGAAUCUGAAUCUUCCAAAAGAAAAAUGGAGUUAAAAGGUUGAUUAAUUAUUUCUUCACAAGAUUUUUUUUUGCUUAAAUUUUAAUAACUGGAAAAGGUGAAAUUCGGAUGCAAAAGCGCAUUUGAUGGGCUGAAUUGUGUUGUUCAUGGAGAAUGGGAAUAGAUUCGUGGUAGCACCAUACGUUGUCUACGUGUUGAGUAGAGUGAAAGGGCGUUGGGCUGGGGAGUUUGGGGAGUUGGUUUGCACUUUGCCGGGUGGAUCGGGCCCUAAGCAACUAGGAGAAUUAGCUAGAUGAAUUGGGGCCUCAUAAUAAAUAGCUGCUUACAGCCUCAAAAUUCUCGGGGCCGGCCCUGUGAGACAAACCCAAGUUAUACAAAACCUCCAAUAAGUAAGUUAAAGAUAAAGAAGAUAUAAUUUCUCCAAUUCUCAUCUUCGAAGAUAAUAGACAUCAGCACUCCCUACCAAUAGGAUUGAUUGCUAUAGGAUCUUACUUAUUUCACAAAAUUAAAUGGUUAUGCCCAUCUAACUAAAUGAGAAAGAGGAUUGAAGUACUUUGUGUAUUUAACAAAGAUGAGGGCGAGGACGCGCACGAGGAAAAGAAGAUGAGCACUCCAGUUCCGAUUGAUUAUUCAACUGAGGAACAACGACUAGUUUCUGAGACCCCAUCAACGAAUAUGGUUGUAGCUGCAGAAUUUGCAAAGCAUGUUACAACAACAAAUUCGAAAUAGGAGAAGCCUCUUGUGGAAAAUGAUGAUUUGUCUUUUGUAAUUGGGGAUGUUGAAUUACAUUUUUGUGGGGUUUGGGGACUUUUAGGACGCAUUAAUUACGUAUUAAAUUAUUUAAUUAGUUUAAAAAGGGUAUUAUUCAAUUUAGUUAGUUUAAUAGGGCAUUGAGCCUAAAUUACCCAUAUUUCUUUUUUCAAGAAAAAAAGGUACUUAUUAUUUUGAAUUCAUGUAAUUUAAUUUAGUGGUAGAUGUUAAAUUCAGACUAUAAAAAGAUGGUUUUUGCAUCGAAAUAAAAUUCGAUUUUGUGCUUGUAACCCAUAACUAGAUUAGAAUCGUUCGAUUCUAAAGUAGAAUUGAAUUAAUUGAACCGAUUAAUUUUGAUUCAACCCAGUUUGUGGAAAAAUGACAACUCCAAUCGUAUAUGAUGGGUUCAAAUGUUCAAGUCGGGUAUCAUAAGUUAUAAAUCCCAUUUAAAUUGUGAAAUAUCGAGGUAUUUCAUUACUUGAUUGUAUUUUUGUGAAUCAAGUGUAAACAAGGUUGAUUUUGUUUUACCUCGAAUUAGAAUAUAGUUCUGUA
rnacentral:lncRNA from 1 species